UACGGGGGGAGCAAGCGUUGUUCGGAUUUACUGGGCGUAAAGGGCGCGUAGGCGGCCACCGCAAGUCGGUUGUGAAAUCUCUGGGCUUAACCCAGAAAGGUCAACCGAUACUGCGGGGCUAGAGUGCAGAAGGGGCAACUGGAACAAGCGGUGGAGCGGUGAAAUGCGUAGAUAUCGCUUGGAACGCCAACGGUGAAAACAGGUUGCUGGGGGUGUGCUGACGCUGAGACACGAAAGCCAGGGGAGCGAACGGG
rnacentral:rRNA from 1 species